CUCAUUUCUUCCAAUGUAUUUUGUGUAUGAUGUGAGAAAUGACGGUAAAGAACAACUAGAAGCACACAUCAUAAAUCACUGCACCGCUGUACCACUGAACCUCCAAAGCCAUCAACAGUAAUGGCAAUAGCAGUUGUAAAGAGAUCAAUUAACUAUGCUUCACCUGCCUCUACUUCCCUCACGUCCCCUCUUUCCAGCUCAGUAGUUUCAAGCACACGCCUAGCGACGCCCAAACACUCCCGGUCGUCUUGGAACAGCGCGCAAGUCUGUGCUGGAGAGGGCACAGGCGGGCUGGUGGAGGCGGGCCGCGACACUCAAUAGGCGACGCAGCGUGUAGACCGCAGCGUGGCUCCAACCCUCGCAUCAUGGAGUGGCUGUUGGAAGGCCUGUCUUGCGGGCGUCUGCUGUUGUUGGGAGUUUUGAUGAUGAUGGGACACCAUGUUCAGGCUGAAAUGUGCGUGGCUGCACCAAGUGGAAUAGAAAAGGUCAAACUCCCUACCGGUGAAGUGGCCUUAUUCUGUUCGUCCAGAAUGCCUUGGAGCACCAAUGAGUUUGCUCACAUCACCACGUGUACCGAGUCAGGCACAGUCGAAAUGAGCUAUACAUGCCCAGGAACUAAAGGAAUCGUGAGCUGUUCUGCUGAAGCUCCCGUCCCGGCGAACAGUGAGGUGGCUCAGACUGAGGAAGUGGAUAAGGUGACGGCCGUUCACUACCUGACCUGCAAUGAUCCCUUGGUCUGGAUGAGCGGCGCUAAGGGGGUCCUGACGCAGUGCAUAACGGAUACCUGGACGCCCGUGCUGGAUUUCUGCG